rnacentral:SRP_RNA from 1 species
GCCGGGCAUGGUGGCUCAUGCCUGUAAUCCCAGCACUUUGGGAGGCUGAGGCGGGUGGAUCACCUGAGGCCCGGAGUUCGAGACCAGCCUGGCCAACAUGGUGAAACCCUGUCUCUA